UACGUAGGGCGCAAGCGUUAUCCGGAAUUAUUGGGCGUAAAGAGCUCAUAGGCGGUUUGUCGCGUCUGCCGUGAAAGUCCGGGGCUUAACCCCGGAUCUGCGGUGGGUACGGGCAGACUAGAGUGCAGUAGGGGAGACUGGAAUUCCUGGUGUAGCGGUGAAAUGCGCAGAUAUCAGGAGGAACACCGAUGGCGAAGGCAGGUCUCUGGGCUGUAACUGACGCUGAGGAGCGAAAGCAUGGGGAGCGAACAGG
rnacentral:rRNA from 1 species